AAGUCGUAACAAGGUUUCCGUAGGUGAACCUGCGGAAGGAUCAUUAAUACGUCUAAACAACGUUUUAAACCUUUCAAAUUUGUGGAAAUUCUUACCAUUCCGGGUGCAUCUCUUUGGCAUGAGAAGGGACUUCUUGUUAUGAGACACUUCAGUGUAGAGCAGUGAGGUGAAAUCUGAGCUUUUGAUGGCUUGGAUUUGGUUCUGGAUCACGACUCUUUGGUGACAGAGAGUCAAAUGCUGAAUGCAUUCGGUUAUUACUGUUCUACAUUUUUUUAUUCUAUCAAACUUAUAAACCCCAUGUACAACAACUUGAACUAAACAUCUCUUCUGAUCACAUUGACUUGUGUGAUGAAGAACAAAUCUGAAAUUAAGAACAACUCUUAACAACGGAUAUCUUGGUUCUC
rnacentral:misc_RNA from 1 species